AGGAGGUCUCUAGCUUCUCCUUCCGGUCCACUGGCUGAUGGUUUAAGGAGUGAGAGCAGAGCCAAGUCCUAGAGACGCUGAACUUGCUGUCGCACCAGAAAACGAGAUGUGCGGGGUAGGGGACAGGGACGAGGUGGAAAAGGACUACUCGGAUCAUUUUUAAGGUGGGAGAGUAGCCACAGAGGAACAGAGUAAGAAUCUAAACAAAGUAAAGCAGUACGGGUGUACGUUUCUUUA
rnacentral:lncRNA from 10 species